rnacentral:rRNA from 1 species
UGGGGAAUUUUGGACAAUGGGCGCAAGCCUGAUCCAGCAAUGCCGCGUGAGUGAAGAAGGCCUUCGGGUUGUAAAGCUCUUUUGUCAGGGAAGAAACGACACCCUCUAAUACAGGGUGUUAAUGACGGUACCUGAAGAAUAAGCACCGGCUAACUACGUGCCAGCAGCCGCGGUAAUACGUAGGGUGCAAGCGUUAAUCGGAAUUACUGGGCGUAAAGCGUGCGCAGGCGGUUUUGUAAGACUGACGUGAAAUCCCCGGGCUCAACCUGGGAAUGGCGUUGGUGACUGCAAGGCUAGAGUUUGGCAGAGGGGGGUAGAAUUCCACGUGUAGCAGUGAAAUGCGUAGAUAUGUGGAGGAACACCGAUGGCGAAGGCAGCCCCCUGGGUCAAAACUGACGCUCAUGCACGAAAGCGUGGGGAGCAAACAG